rfam:Arabis alpina cultivar Pajares Aa.chr5_contig_1815, whole genome shotgun sequence.
AAGGCAUGGUGAUGAUUGUUUAUUGUCAUCUGAUUCAUGAUGAUAAAAUACCUUCUACUCAUUCUGA